AUUGAACGCUGGCGGCAGGCCUAACACAUGCAAGUCGAACGAGUGGCGGACGGGUGAGUAAUGUCUGGGAAACUGCCCGAUGGAGGGGGAUCACUACUGGAAACGGUAGCUAAUACCGCAUACCAUCAGAUGUGCCCAGAUGGGUGUAGCUUGUUGGUGGGGUCACGGCUCACCAAGGCGACGAUCCCUAGCUGGUCUGAGAGGAUGACCAGCGACACUGGAGCUGAACCGCGGUCCAGACUCCUACGGGAGGCAGCGGUGGGGAAUAUUGCACAAUGGGCGCAAGCCUGAUGCAGCCAUGCCGCGUAUAUGAAGAAGGCCGUCGGGUUGUAAAGUACUUUCAGCGGGGAGGCGUUACCCGCAGAAGAAGCACCGGCUAACUCCGUGCCAGCAGCCGCGGUAAUUC
rnacentral:rRNA from 1 species